rnacentral:rRNA from 1 species
UCCAACCUGCCCAUCACUUGGGGAUAACCUUGCGAAAGUAAGACUAAUACCCAAUGACGUCUCUAGAAGACAUCUGAAAGAGAUUAAAGAUUUAUCGGUGAUGGAUGGGGAUGCGUCUGAUUAGCUUGUUGGCGGGGUAACGGCCCACCAAGGCGACGAUCAGUAGGGGUUCUGAGAGGAAGGUCCCCCACAUUGGAACUGAGACACGGUCCAAACUCCUACGGGAGGCAGCAGUGAGGAAUAUUGGUCAAUGGGCGAGAGCCUGAACCAGCCAAGUAGCGUGCAGGAUGACGGCCCUAUGGGUUGUAAACUGCUUUUAUAAGGGAAUAAAGUGAGUCUCGUGAGGCUUUUUGUAUGUACCUUAUGAAUAAGGACCGGCUAAUUCCGUGCCAGCAGCCGCGGUAAUACGGAAGGUCCGGGCGUUAUCCGGAUUUAUUGGGUUUAAAGGGAGCGUAGGCCGGAGAUUAAGCGUGUUGUGAAAUGUAGACGCUCAACGUCUGCACUGCAGCGCGAACUGGUUUCCUUGAGUACGCACAAAGUGGGCGGAAUUCGUGGUGUAGCGGUGAAAAUGCUUAGAUAUCACGAAGAACUCCGAUUGCGAAGGCAGCUCACUGGAGCGCAACU